rnacentral:rRNA from 1 species
UACGGGGGGGGGCAAGCGUUGUUCGGAAUUACUGGGCGUAAAGGGCGCGUAGGCGGCCUUCUAAGUCGAACGUGAAAUCCCCGGGCUCAACCCGGGAACUGCGUCCGAUACUGGAAGGCUUGAAUCCGGGAGAGGGAUGCGGAAUUCCAGGUGUAGCGGUGAAAUGCGUAGAUAUCUGGAGGAACACCGGUGGCGAAGGCGGCAUCCUGGACCGGUAUUGACGCUGAGGCGCGAAGGCCAGGGGAGCAAACGGG